rnacentral:ncRNA from 1 species
AGGCAGAUAAUAUGAAUCACGACAUGUUAGUAACCAGAGGAAAAGAAAGAAAAAGCGAUAUCUGUAAUAGCAGCGAGCGAAAUGGGAGCAGCCUAAACUGUAAAAAUGGGGUUGUUGGAGAGAAAUUCAAGCGUCGUGCUGUUAAGGAAAACAGCCUGAAUGUUGCACCUUUAGAUGGAGAAAGUCCAGUAGCCUAAAUCAUCACUAGCUUACGCUCUAACCCUAGUAGCAUGUGGCACGUGGAAUCCCGUGUGAAUCAGCAAGGUAGUAUUCCCU